rnacentral:rRNA from 1 species
GAAAAGAAACCAACAGGGAUUGCCUCAGUAACGGCGAGUGAAGCGGCAAAAGCUCAAAUUUGAAAUCUAGCACCUUCGGUGUUCGAGUUGUAAUUUGAAGAUGGUAACCUUGGGUUUGGCUCUUGUCUAUGUUCCUUGGAACAGGACGUCAUAGAGGGUGAGAAUCCCGUCUGAUGAGAUGCCCAUUCCUAUGUAAGGUGCUAUCGAAGAGUCGAGUUGUUUGGGAAUGCAGCUCUAAGUGGGUGGUAAAUUCCAUCUAAAGCUAAAUAUUGGCGAGAGACCGAUAGCGAACAAGUACAGUGAUGGAAAGAUGAAAAGAACUUUGAAAAGAGAGUGAAAAAGUACGUGAAAUUGUUGAAAGGGAAGGGCAUUAGAUCAGACUUGGUGUUUUACGAUUAUCUUCUCUUCUUGAGUUGUGCACUCGUAUUUCACUGGGCCAGCAUCGAUUCGGAUGGCAAGAUAAUGGCAGUUGAAUGUGGCUUCACUUCGGUGGAGUGUUAUAGCUUCUGCUGAUAUUGCCUGUCUGGAUCGAGGGCUGCGUCUUUUGACUAGGAUGCUGGCGUAAUGAUCUAAUGCCGCCCGUC